UCGACGCAAUAAAAACCGGUGACAUCCCAAAUCUCUUCUCAAAAUUCUUCUGCGACAUCAACGACGAUUUCUCAAGCUCAUCGUAUCCUUCAAGCCCUUCUUCAAUGUCUUCCAAAUCAAAAAUCGCCUCCGUCGAUCGCUUCCUGGUAUAGCUACUCAUCUUCGUCGAUGUAGUUUCAUCACUCUUCUUCUUGUUCUUCCUCUUUAAUUUUGAUAACAAGCUCUUGAUUCCUGAUUUCUUCUUUGACGGAUCUGAUGAUUUCGAUUUGUGGUUAUGACGGUUACCUCCGCCGCAGCAACAGCAGAGCCACGACGGCCAACAGUCACAGGUCAUUUUUUUCCGUUUUUCCGAUACCGGUGGUUCGUAUCCGUAUAGUGCUGGUCUAUUGAAUACACAUCCUGUUCCUAC
rnacentral:lncRNA from 1 species